CACGUAGGGCGCAAGCGUUGUCCGGAAUUAUUGGGCGUAAAGGGCUCGUAGGCGGUUCGUCACGUCGGGAGUGAAAACUCGGAGCUUAACUCCGAGCCUGCUUCCGAUACGGGCAGACUAGAGGUAGGCAGGGGAGAGCGGAACUCCUGGUGUAGCGGUGGAAUGCGCAGAUAUCAGGAAGAACACCGGUGGCGAAGGCGGCUCUCUGGGCCUUACCUGACGCUCAGGCACGAAAGCGUGGGGAGCAAACAGG
rnacentral:rRNA from 1 species